CGGGGUGAGUAACGCGUGGGUAACCUGCCUUGUACAGGGGGAUAACAGUUGGAAACGGCUGCUAAUACCGCAUAAGCGCACGGCAUCACAUGAUGCAGUGUGAAAAACUCCGGUGGUAUAAGAUGGACCCGCGUUGGAUUAGCUAGUUGGUGAGGUAACGGCCCACCAAGGCGACGAUCCAUAGCCGACCUGAGAGGGUGACCGGCCACAUUGGGACUGAGACACGGCCCAA
rnacentral:rRNA from 1 species